GUGGUCACUUCUGCAACACAUAUACUAAAAUUGGAAUGACAUAGAGAAGAUUAGCAUGGCCCUACAGUAGGAUAACAUACAAUUUCAGGAAGCAUCCCAUAUUUUA
rnacentral:snRNA from 1 species